rnacentral:rRNA from 1 species
CCUACGGGAGGCUGCAGUGAGGAAUAUUGGUCAAUGGACGAGAGUCUGAACCAGCCAAGUAGCGUGAAGGAUGACUGCCCUAUGGGUUGUAAACUUCUUUUAUAUGGGAAUAAAAUGUUCCACGUGUGGGAUUUUGUAUGUACCAUAUGAAUAAGGAUCGGCUAACUCCGUGCCAGCAGCCGCGGUAAUACGGAGGAUCCGAGCGUUAUCCGGAUUUAUUGGGUUUAAAGGGAGCGUAGGUGGAUUGUUAAGUCAGUUGUGAAAGGUUGCGGCUCAACCGUAAAAUUGCAGUUGAAACUGGCAGUCUUGAGUACAGUAGAGGUGGGCGGAAUGCGUGGUGUAGCGGUGAAAUGCUUAGAUAUCACGAAGAACUCCGAUUGCGAAGGCAGCUCACUGGACUGCAACUGACACUGAGGCUCGAAAGUGUGGGUAUCAAACAGGAUUAGAUACCCCUGUAGUC